GGGGAAUAUUGGACAAUGGGCGCAAGCCUGAUCCAGCCAUGCCGCGUGGGUGAUGAAGGCCUUAGGGUUGUAAAGCCCUUUCGGCGGGGAAGAUAAUGACGGUACCCGCAGAAGAAGCCCCGGCUAACUUCGUGCCAGCAGCCGCGGUAAUACGAAGGGGGCUAGCGUUGCUCGGAAUUACUGGGCGUAAAGCGCACGUAGGCGGCUUGUUAAGUCGGGGGUGAAAUCCCGGAGCUCAACUCCGGAACUGCCUUCGAUACUGGCAAGCUCGAGUCCGGGAGAGGUGAGUGGAACUGCGAGUGUAGAGGUGAAAUUCGUAGAUAUUCGCAAGAACACCAGUGGCGAAGGCGGCUCACUGGCCCGGUACUGACGCUGAGGUGCGAAAGCGUGGGGAGCAAACA
rnacentral:rRNA from 1 species